UUUUAAUGAGAGUUUGAUCCUGGCUCAGGACGAACGCUGGCGGCGUGCCUAAUACAUGCAAGUAGAACGCUGAGGUUUGGUGUUUACACUAGACUGAUGAGUUGCGAACGGGUGAGUAACGCGUAGGUAACCUGCCUCAUAGCGGGGGAUAACUAUUGGAAACGAUAGCUAAUACCGCAUAAGAGUAAU
rnacentral:rRNA from 1 species